UACGUAGGGUGCGAGCGUUGUCCGGAAUCACUGGGCGUAAAGGGCGCGUAGGUGGCGCUGCAAGUCGGUGGUGAAAGCUCGUCGCUUAACGACGAGUCGGCCAUCGAAACUGCAGGGCUGGAGCACUGUAGGGGCAGAUGGAAUUCCGGGUGUAGCGGUGGAAUGCGUAGAGAUCCGGAAGGACACCAGUGGCGAAGGCGGUCUGCUGGGCAGUAGCUGACACUGAGGCGCGACAGCGUGGGGAGCAAACAGG
rnacentral:rRNA from 1 species